AUUGAACGCUGGCGGCAUGCCUUACACAUGCAAGUCGAACGGUAACAGGUCUUCGGAUGCUGACGAGUGGCGAACGGGUGAGUAAUACAUCGGAACGUGCCUAGUAGUGGGGGAUAACUACUCGAAAGAGUGGCUAAUACCGCACGAGAUCCACGGAUGAAAGCAGGGGAUCGCAAGACCUUGUGCUACUAGAGCGGCCGAUGGCAGAUUAGGUAGUUGGUGGGAUAAAAGCUUACCAAGCCGACGAUCUGUAGCUGGUCUGAGAGGACGAUCAGCCACACUGGGACUGAGACACGGCCCAGACUCCUACGGGAGGCAGCAGUGGGGAAUUUUGGACAAUGGGCGCAAGCCUGAUCCAGCAAUGCCGCGUGCAGGAUGAAGGCCUUCGGGUUGUAAACUGCUUUUGUACGGAACGAAAAGCCCUGGGUUAAUACCCUGGGGUCAUGACGGUACCGUAAGAAUAAGCACCGGCUAACUACGUGCCAGCCGCCGCGGUAA
rnacentral:rRNA from 1 species